rnacentral:rRNA from 1 species
GACGAACGCUGGCGGCGUGCUUAACACAUGCAAGUCGAACGGAAAGGCCUGCUUUCCCUUGUGGAUUGCGGGUACUCGAGUGGCGAACGGGUGAGUAACACGUGAGUGAUCUGCCCCCAACUUGGGUAUAAGCCUGGGAAACUGGGUCUAAUUCCCGAUAGGACUGCAGGGUGGUGCCUGUGGUGGAAAACGAUUUUCUAGUGGUUGGGGAUGAGCUCGCGGCCUAUCAGCUUGUUGGUGGGGUAAUGGCCUACCAAGGCGGCGACGGGUAGCCGGCCUGAGAGGGUGGACGGCCACAUUGGGACUGAGAUACGGCCCAGACUCCUACGGGAGGCAGCAGUGGGGAAUAUUGCACAAUGGGCGGAAGCCUGAUGCAGCGACGCCGCGUGGGGGAUGACGGCCUUCGGGUUGUAAACUCCUUUCGACCGCGAGGAAGCCACCUGAUUGGAAGGGUGGUGACGGUAGUGGUAGAAGAAGCACCGGCUAACUACGUG